AGUGUUUUUCAGGAGCACGGUUGUCCUUUCUCAGCUUUGAUGUGUGAAAUGUAGUAUCUCUUUAUAGGAUGCACUUUUGACACACAAGCAACGCCUUACUCUCAAUUAGUUGACAUUAAAAAAAUGGUGGCAGUUGCUUGGUUCUCUUUCGACCCUGCCUCCGCGCACGCCGACAUCAUCUUUUCUAAUGACAACCUGACUGUCACCUGCAACAGCUACGAUGACAGGGUUGUGCUGGGGAAAACGGGCUUUUCCAAAGGGCUCCAUUACUGGGAGCUGUCGAUCGA